AGCGGCGAGCGAACGGGGAGCAGCCCAGAGCUUGAAUCAGUGUGUGUGUUAGUGGAAGCGUCUGGAAAGGCGUGCGAUACAGGGUGACAGCCCCGUACACAAAAAUGCACAUGCUGUGAGCUCGAUGAGUAGGGCGGGACACGUGGUAUCCUGUCUGAAUAUGGGGGGACCAUCCUCCAAGGCUAAAUACUCCUGACUGACCGAUAGUGAACCAGUACCGUGAGGGAAAGGCGAAAAGAACCCCGGCGAGGGGAGUGAAAAAGAACCUGAAACCGUGUACGUACAAGCAGUGGGAGCACAGAGCAAUCUGUGUGACUGCGUACCUUUUGUAUAAUGGGUCAGCGACUUAUAUUCUGUAGCAAGGUUAACCGAAUAGGGGAGCCGAAGGGAAACCGAGUCUUAACUGGGCGUUAAGUUGCAGGGUAUAGACCCGAAACCCGGUGAUCUAGCCAUGGGCAGGUUGAAGGUUGGGUAACACUAACUGGAGGACCGAACCGACUAAUGUUGAAAAAUUAGCGGAUGACUUGUGGCUGGGGGUGAAAGGCCAAUCAAACCGGGAGAUAGCUGGUUCUCCCCGAAAGCUAUUUAGGUAGCGCCUCGUGAAUUCAUCUCCGGGGGUAGAGCACUGUUUCGGCAAGGGGGUCAUCCCGACUUACCAACCCGAUGCAAACUGCGAAUACCGGAGAAUGUUAUCACGGGAGACACACGGCGGGUGCUAACGUCCGUCGUGAAGAGGGAAACAACCCAGACCGCCAGCUAAGGUCCCAAAGUCAUGGUUAAGUGGGAAACGAUGUGGGAAGGCCCAGACAGCCAGGAUGUUGGCUUAGAAGCAGCCAUCAUUUAAAGAAAGCGUAAUAGCUCACUGGUCGAGUCGGCCUGCGCGGAAGAUGUAACGGGGCUAAACCAUGCACCGAAGCUGCGGCAGCGACGCUUAUGCGUUGUUGGGUAGGGGAGCGUUCUGUAAGCCUGCGAAGGUGUGCUGUGAGGCAUGCUGGAGGUAUCAGAAGUGCGAAUGCUGACAUAAGUAACGAUAAAGCGGGUGAAAAGCCCGCUCGCCGGAAGACCAAGGGUUCCUGUCCAACGUUAAUCGGGGCAGGGUGAGUCGACCCCUAAGGCGAGGCCGAAAGGCGUAGUCGAUGGGAAACAGGUUAAUAUUCCUGUACUUGGUGUUACUGCGAAGGGGGGACGGAGAAGGCUAUGUUGGCCGGGCGACGGUUGUCCCGGUUUAAGCGUGUAGGCUGGUUUUCCAGGCAAAUCCGGAAAACUAAGGCUGAG
rnacentral:rRNA from 1 species